GCCAGGGUGGCUCAGUCAGUUAAGCCUCUGACUUCAGCUCAGGUCAUGAUUUUGCAGUCUGUGAGUUCGAGCCCCACAUCUGGCU
rnacentral:tRNA from 1 species